UACAGAGGGUGCGAGCGUUAAUCGGAAUUACUGGGCGUAAAGCGCACGUAGGUGGCGACGUAAGUCGGGUGUGAAAGCCCCGGGCUCAACCUGGGAAUUGCAUUCGAGACUGAAUAGCUAGGGUACGGUAGAGGGAAGUGGAAUUUCCGGUGUAGCGGUGAAAUGCGUAGAUAUCGGAAGGAACAUCAGUGGCGAAAGCGACUUCCUGGACCAGUACCGACGUCAGGCACGAAAGCGUGGGGAGCAAACAGG
rnacentral:rRNA from 1 species